CUAGUUGAACGCGUUAAAAACGAGUAGCGAACGGGUGAGUAAUACAUGGGAAUCUACCUUAUAGUUUGGUUAAAUACCUUAUACAAAAAGAAUUUUCGCUAUAAGAUGAGCCUUUGUAGGAUUAGGUAGUUGGUAAGGUAAUGGCUUACCAAGCCGAUGAUCCUUAACUGGCCUGAGAGGGUGUACAGUCACAUUAGAACUGAGAAAGGUCUAAACAUUUACGAAUGGCAGCAGUGGGGAAUCUUGAACACUAGGCGAAAGCUUGAUUCAGCGAUAUAGAGUGAAUGAUGACAGUCAUUUGAUUGUAAAGUUCUUUUACCAAGAAAGAUUUUGACUUUACUUGGAGAAAAAGCCCUGGCAAAUUUCGUGCCAGCAGCCGCGGUGAUACGAAAAGGGCUAGUGUUAUUCGGAAUAAUUGGGUGUAAAGGGUGAGUAGGCCGCAAUCAAAGUUAAUCAUUAAAUCUUAGUAGCAAUUACUAAAUCAAUUUUUAAUAACAAAUUACUAGAGUAAAAGAGGGGAUUGUAGAAUUUCAAGUGGAGAAAUAAAAUUCGUAGAUUUUUGAAGGAAUAUCGAAAGCGAAGGCAACAAUCUGGUUUUAUACUGACGCUGAUUCACGAAAGCCUAGGUAGCAACCGGGAUUAGAGACCCCGUUAGUCUAGGCUGUAAACGAUGAGUACUCAUUUUUGGAUAGAAUAUAUUCAGAAAUUUAGCUAACGCGUUAAGUACUCCACCUGAGGAGUACAGUGGCAACACUGAAACUCAAAGGAAUUGACGGGGGAUUUAUACCAUUCGUGGAAUAUGUGGUUUAAUCCGUAAAUACACGCAAAACCUUACCAACUUUUUGAAUGAUUUUAUAUUCUAAUGAAGAAAUUUGUUAUGUUAAAAAAUUACAGGUACUGCAUGGCUGUCGUCAGCUCGUGUCUUGAGAUGUUAUGGUUUAGUCCAGUAAACGAGCGAAAACCCUUUCCUCUUUUGUUUGCAAAAAAGAACAAAUUUUGUUUCAUUUUAAUAUUUAAUUUG
rnacentral:rRNA from 1 species